rnacentral:rRNA from 1 species
UACGUAGGGUGCAAGCGUUAAUCGGAAUUACUGGGCGUAAAGCGUGCGCAGGCGGCUUUGCAAGACAGAUGUGAAAUCCCCGGGCUUAACCUGGGAACUGCAUUUGUGACUGCAUGGCUAGAGUGCGGCAGAGGGAGAUGGAAUUCCGCGUGUAGCAGUGAAAUGCGUAGAUAUGCGGAGGAACACCGAUGGCGAAGGCAAUCCCCUGGGCCUGCACUGACGCUCAUGCACGAAAGCGUGGGGAGCAAACAGG